UACGUAGGGGGCUAGCGUUGUCCGGAUUUAUUGGGCGUAAAGAGCGUGUAGGCGGCCAGGUAGGUCUGCUGUGAAAACUCGAGGCUCAACCUCGAGACGCCGGUGGAAACCGUAAAGCUAGAGUCCGGAAGAGGAGAGUGGAAUUCCUGGUGUAGCGGUGAAAUGCGCAGAUAUCAGGAGGAACACCCGUGGCGAAAGCGGCUCUCUGGGACGGUACUGACGCUGAGACGCGAAAGCGUGGGGAGCAAACAGG
rnacentral:rRNA from 1 species